GACAGAGGAUGCAAGCGUUAUCCGGAAUGAUUGGGCGUAAAGCGUCUGUAGGUGGCUUUUCAAGUCCGCCGUCAAAUCCCAGGGCUCAACCCUGGACAGGCGGUGGAAACUGCCAAGCUGGAGUACGGUAGGGGCAGAGGGAAUUUCCGGUGUAGCGGUGAAAUGCGUAGAUAUCGGAAGGAACAUCAGUGGCGAAAGCGGCUUCCUGGACCAGCACCGACGUUCAGGCACGAAAGCGUGGGGAGCAAACAGG
rnacentral:rRNA from 1 species